rnacentral:rRNA from 1 species
AUUACCUCAGUAACGGCGAGUGAAGCGGUAAAAGCUCAAAUUUGAAAUCUGGCUCUCUCAGAGUCCGAGUUGUAAUUUGUAGAAGAUGCUUCGGGUGUGGUUCCGGUCUAAGUUCCUUGGAACAGGACGUCAUAGAGGGUGAGAAUCCCGUAUGUGACUGGAUACCUACGCUCAUGUGAAGCUCUUUCGACGAGUCGAGUUGUUUGGGAAUGCAGCUCAAAAUGGGUGGUAUAUUUCAUCUAAAGCUAAAUAUUGGCCAGAGACCGAUAGCGCACAAGUAGAGUGAUCGAAAGAUGAAAAGCACUUUGGAAAGAGAGUUAAACAGUACGUGAAAUUGUUGAAAGGGAAGCGCUUGCAACCAGACUUGCACUUGGUGUUCAUCAGGACUUUGUGUCCUGUGUACUUCAUCAAGUUCAGGCCAGCAUCAGUUUGAGUGGUUAGAUAAAGGCUUAGAGAAUGUGGCCCUUCUCGGAGGGUGUUAUAGCUCUAGGUGCAAUGUAGCCUACUCGGACUGAGGACCGCGCUUCGGCUAGGAUGCUGGCGUAAUGGUUGUAAGCGACCCGUCUUGAAACACGGACCAAGGAGUGUACCUAAUAUGCGAGUGUUUGGGUGUUAAACCCAUACGCGUAAUGAAAGUGAACGCUGGUGAGAACCCUUAAGGGUGCAUCAUCGACCGAUCUUGAUGUCUUCGGAUGGAUUUGAGUAAGAGCAUAUUGGGUGCGACCCGAAAGAUGGUGAUCUAUACGUGAAUAGGGUGAAGCCAGAGGAAACUCUGGUGGAGGCUCGCAGCGGUUCUGACGUGCAAAUCGAUCGUCAAAUUUGCGUAUAGGGGCGAAAGACUAAUCGAACCAUUAAGAGUUGCUAGGUGGUUAAGAAGAGGCUGGAACAAGUCUCCUAGUCCUACUGCAGGGCAACACUAUCAAAUUGAUCGGGAACUACCUGUUUAAUUCUAAGCUACCGCAGCCCAGUCGAAAGAUGGGUGCGCACCAGGUUAAUGACCUUGGGGAUGGUAAUAACGCUUAGAUAGGGUAUAUCCGCAGCGAAAUCCUAAGGCUUAGGCUAUGGAUAGCGUUCACAGACUAGACGAUAGUGGGCUCUCUGGCUUCAAAGUCAUGAGAGCUUAAGAUAUAGUCGAAACCUCAGAGAUGCAAGGUAUA